rnacentral:rRNA from 1 species
GUGUCAGCAGCCGCGGUAAUACGGAGGGUGCAAGCGUUGUCCGGUAUCAUUGGGUGUAAAGGGUGCGUAGGCGGGCUAUUAAGUCUGGGGUGAAAUCUUGCCGCUUAACGGUAAAAUUGCCUUUGAUACUGUCAGGCUUGAAUAGGCGCGAGGCAGGCGGAAUGUGACAUGUAGCGGUGAAAUGCAUAGAUAUGUCAUAGAACACCAAUUGCGAAGGCAGCUUGCCAGAGCCUUAUUGACGCUGAGGCACGAAAGCGUGGGGAGCGAACAGGAUUAGAUACCCUGGUAGUCCACGCCCUAAACGAUGCUUACUCGACGUGCGGUUUUCGGAUUGUGCGUCCAAGCGAAAGCGCUAAGUAAGCCACCUGGGGAGUACGCCGGCAACGGUGAAACUUAAAGGAAUUGACGGGG